rnacentral:rRNA from 1 species
GACGAACGCUGGCGGCGUGCCUAAUACAUGCAAGUCGAGCGCAGGAAACUGACGGAACUCUUCGGAGGGAAGGCAGCGGAAUGAGCGGCGGACGGGUAAGUAACACGUAAGGAACCUGCCUCAAGGAUUGGGAUAACUCCGAGAAAUCGGAGCCAAUACCGGAUAGUUCAACGGACCGCAUGGUCCGCUGAUGAAAGGCGCUUCGGCGUCACCUUGAGAUGGCCUUGCGGUGCAUUAGCUAGUUGGUGGGGUAACGGCCCACCAAGGCGACGAUGCAUAGCCGACCUGGGAGGGUGAUCGGCCACACUGGGACUGAGACACGGCCCAGACUCCUACGGGAGGCAGCAGUAGGGAAUCUUCCACAAUGGACGAAAGUCUGAUGGAGCAACGCCGCGUGAGUGAUGAAGGUUUUCGGAUCGUAAAACUCUGUUGUAAGGGAAGAACACGUACGAGAGGGAAUGCUCGUACCUUGACGGUACCUUACGAGAAAGCCACGGCUAACUACGUGCCAGCAGCCGCCGUAACAC